UACAGCGGGUGCAAGCGUUAAUCGGAAUUACUGGGCGUAAAGCGUGCGUAGACGGUCAUGUAAGUCGGGUGUGAAAGCCCCGGGCUCAACCUGGGAAUUGCAUUCGAGACUGCAUGGCUAGGAUGCGGAAGAGGGAAGCGGAAUUUCCGGUGUAGCGGUGAAAUGCGUAGAUAUCGGAAGGAACACCAGUGGCGAAAGCGGCUUCCUGGUCCAGCAUCGACGUUCAGGCACGAAAGCGUGGGGAGCAAACAGG
rnacentral:rRNA from 1 species